rnacentral:rRNA from 1 species
GGUGAGCACGGGCCGGCAGGCGCGGGAACUGGGAGGGGGGGAGCGGUGGUCGGAGUGACUGGGCGGAAAGCGCACGCAGGCGGCCCGCCAAGUUUGAGGUGACAGUCUCCGGCUUAACUGGAGAAGGACCUUGAAGACUGGAGGGCUUGAGGACUUGAGAGGGACACGGAAUUCCGGGUGUAGUGGUGAAAUGCGUAGAUAUCCGGAGGAACACCGAAGGCGAAGGCAGUGUCCUGGCAAGGUCCUGACGCUCAGGUGCGAAAGCCAGGGGAGCGAACGGGAUUAGAUACCCCGGUAGUC